rnacentral:rRNA from 1 species
GGGUCAGUAGGUUGGUCGUGCCACCGGUACGUACUGGUCUCACUGAUUCCUCCUUCCUGAAGAACCGUAAUGCCAUUAAUUUGGUGUUGCGGGGAAACAGGACUGUUACUUUGAAAAAAUUAGAGUGUUUAAAGCAAGCUAACGCUUGAAUACAUUAGCAUGGAAUAAUGAAAUAGGACGAUCGAUCCUAUUUUGUUGGUUUCUAGGAUUGACGUAAUGAUUAAGGGAUAGUUGGG